AGUGAACGCUGGCGGUAGGCCUAACACAUGCAAGUCGAACGGCAGCACAGGAGAGCUUGCUCUCUGGGUGGCGAGUGGCGGACGGGUGAGGAAUACAUGGGAAUCUACUCUGGCGUGGGGGCUAACGUAGGGAAAUUUACGCUAAUACCGCAUACGACCUACGGGUGAAAGCAGGGGACCUUCGAGCCUGGCGUGACUGAAAGAGCCGAUGUCGGAUCAGCUAGUUGGCGGGGUAAAGGCCCACCAAGGCGACGAUCCGUAGCUGGUCUGAGAGGAUGAUCAGCCACACUGGAACUGAGACACGGUCCAGACUCCUACGGGAGGCAGCAGUGGGGAAUAUUGGACGAUGGGCGCAAGCCUGAUCCAGCCAUACCGCGUGGGUGAAGAAGGCCUUCGGGUUGUAAAGCCCUUUUGUUGGGAAAGAAAUCCAGCUGGCUAAUACCCGGUUGGGAUGACGGUACCCAAAGAAUAAGCACCGGCUAACUUCGUGCCAGCCGCCGCAGUAA
rnacentral:rRNA from 1 species